GGUGCCCCCCCCCAUCCCCUCGCCCUCGCCUGCGGGCAAAGCACGGCUGCAGCCCCCCCCGGCUGGGCCCCUCCACCCCUGCAACGGGCGUGGGGAAGGUUUGGGGGGCAGCGGGAUGCGUGGGAGCACUUCCAAGGCUGUUUUGUGGUGUACCAAACUGCCGGGCUGCGGCGAAAUGCACCUGAGCUGAGCACAGCCACAGGGCAGGCGUGCAGCUGCGGGAAUCUGCAGAAUCUGCAGCCCCAGCACUGACCCAGGGCAAGACAGGGCUCUCCGCAGCGCAGCUCCAGCAGGCGGUGGUCGGGUCAGCUUUCCGAAGUGCCUUUUUCUUUGCUUUGGCCCUAGAGGGAGCUGGGACGCUUGCUCCGGCCCCACUCAGCUUCCUUGGGCGGCCAAAGGCAGCGCGGGGCUGGGAGCCCACGGGAAUCAAGGGGGACGGGGACACCGGCGUUUGGUCAGCCACCACAGCCACCGCGUGGUGCCCCCAUGGGCACGGAGGGACCGGCAGCUCCUCCACUCGCCGCUGGGUUUGCAGAGACCCCGGGGCAUGGCUGCUUUGUCACACAUCCCCACAGGGCUUUAUUUUCUUCUGGGGACAUUUCCAAAGGUUUCCAUCCCUGCCGGCCGGGUGCAUCGGGGGCUGGCACCGUGUCAGUGCACAGGGUGAGGCCGUAGAAGCGGGAGCGGGGCCUGGCCAGCAGCACAAGUGGAGAGGGCAGCUUCUGCGUGGAAAUGCAUGUGGAAACUGUCCCUGGCAUGUGCCGUGGCACUGCACGUGGGCACAGAGCCACCUGAGCUAGCGUCCCCUGCCCACCUUGUCACCGCUGACGCCCAGUGGCCAUGUCGCCCUUGGGAAGACACCCGGGUCUGGAAGCUCCCUGCAGUGAGCCGGGCUGCGUCUCACCUCGGGGUGCAGCUUUCCAGGAAAAACAGGGGCACGGAGGAGUUUCAGCCUGCCGGCUGUGCUCCUGAUGGCUCUCAGCGCUCGGUUUCUGCCGGUGAGCAGGUGACACCCCGACGCUGGUGCGCUCGUGCUGGCUGCACACCCGCCGCGGCAGCACACGGGAGGGCACGCUACAGCCCCCGUGGAAAUGCCCAGAUCCCGUCGUUAGCCUUGUUGUCCUCCACCGGGAGCAGCGGCUUGUGUUCCCAGCCGAAACCGCCCGCUACGGUGGAUUUCCUCCCAAAUCCACGUUUUCAGGCUCCUAAAGCAUUCCUGGAGUUUCAGCCUUUCAGCCGGAAACAGCCGUGACCACGCUCGUCCCAGCAGCAGGACUCGCUUAAGUGCCUUAAAACCCCGUUUCUGAAGGGGGGAUCCGUGGAGAAAGCGCUCUUCCCUUUCUAAAUAAAGCCAGGUCCAGCUGGGGAUGGCAGGAGCCCAAGCUGGAAAUCCUUCCUCCGCCGCCCCGCCUCCCCCCCAGGCUCCAGGAGGGAGCGCAGGGACGCAGCCUGUGGGGCGCAGGCGCUGGGGAGCCCCCCCACGCCGACCCGGCGCCUCAGGGAGCCUGGUGUGACCGAGAGCCUCCUUCCAACCCAAAUCCCUGCCUCUUCCAAGGAAAACAGAUUGUGAUGGUAAUUGCUUUUCACAGAAAGUUUCUGCUUCCUGUGGAAGACUUUAUAUCCCCAUAAAAAUACCAAUAGUCAAUAC